rnacentral:rRNA from 1 species
GACGAACGCUGGCGGCGUGCCUAAUACAUGCAAGUAGGACGCAGUUGCGAACGGGUGAGUAACGCGUAGGUAACUGCCUAUUAGAGGGGGAUAACUAUUGGAAACGAUAGCGAAUACCGCAUACUAGUAGAUGGACCUGCGUUGUAUUAGCUAGUAGGUAGGGUAAUGGCCUACCUAGGCGACGAGACAUAGCCGACUUGAGAGGGUGAUCGGCCCACCUGGGACCGAGACACGGCCCAGACUCCUACGGGAGGCAGCAGUAGGGAAUCUUCGGCAAUGGGGGGAACCCUGACCGAGCAACGCCGGGUGAGUGAAGAAGGUUCUCGGAUCGUAAAGCUCUGUUGUUAAUGAAGCGGUACUUAACCAGAAAGGGACGGCUAACUACGUGCCAGCAGCCGCGGUAAUUC